rnacentral:rRNA from 1 species
UACGUAGGGUCCAAGCGUUAUCCGGAAUCACUGGGCGUAAAGCGUGCGUAGGUGGGUGUUUAAGUGAGAUGUUAAAUCGUGUGGCUCAACCAUAUCGAUGCCUCUCAUACUGGGCACCUAGAGGACGGCAGAGGCAAGUGGAAUUGGUAGUGUAGCAGUGAAAUGCGUAGAUAUUACCAGGAACACCAAUGGCGAAGGCAGCUUGCUGGGCCACUCCUGACACUGAGGUACGAAAGCGUGGGGAGCGAACAGG